rnacentral:rRNA from 1 species
UACGGCGGGGGCGAGCGUUAUUCGGAAUUAUUGGGCGUAAAGGGCGCGUAGGCGGCUUGAUGUGUCAAAGGUGAAAUCCCUCGGCUCAACCGAGGAACUGCGCUUAAAACUGUUGGACUCGAGGGAGAUAGAGGAAAGCGGAACUGAUGGUGGAGCGGUGAAAUGCGUUGAUAUCAUCAGGAACACCGGUGGCGAAGGCGGCUUUCUGGGUCUUACCUGACGCUGAGGAACGAAAGCUAGGGGAGCGAACGGG